UACGUAGGGUGCGAGCGUUGUCCGGAAUUAUUGGGCGUAAAGGGCUCGUAGGCGGUCUGUUGCGUCAGGAGUGAAAACUCAGGGCUUAACCCUGAGCUUGCAGUGGGUACGGGCAGACUAGAGUGCGGUAGGGGAGACUGGAAUUCCUGGUGUAGCGGUGAAAUGCGCAGAUAAUCAGGAGGAACACCGGUGGCGAAGGCGGGUCUCGUGGGCCGUAACUGACGCUGAGGAGCGAAAGCAUGGGGAGCGAACAGG
rnacentral:rRNA from 1 species